GGCCACGCCCCCUCAGACGCGUCAUCCUUUCCCUUUUUCACUGCACCUGUCGAGCUGCGUUCGCGUGCGGGCGGAAACAAGGGCGUUCAACAGAUUCAUUGUACACCUGCACGGUGUUCAACACAGACGGUCCAUUGAUCCAUUCUGCUGCUGCUGCUCACUUCCGGGAACUACUGCGAGGCUCCGUGAUCCGCCAUUGCUGGAAGAACAAAGAACUGGUCCGCCGGAGUGAAGGGAGAUGUGGCGACUCUCUCUCUCAACGGCUCUGGUACUGAAGCGUUUUAAAUGACUUGAGGAACUUAUAACUAAAGGUAAAUACACUCAGCAAUAUUUUUUACCGUGUAACUGAGAGGGAGAACACAUGAGAAUAAUGUACUCUGAACCCUUUUCAGCAAUUUUAAACAAGCAUUCGCCUAAACGUUGUACUUUUUCUUCCACUGAUGUUUUCUUUUCCUUUAAACCAGUUUUUUUAUUUUCAUUUUUUUUAUCUUGUUUUUGCUCUGUAGCACUUUGAGAUUGCUUUCAGCAAUGAAAAGUGCUCUAUAAAUAAAAUGUAUUAUUAUUAUUAUUAUUAGAAAAAUGGGUAACUGGUAGUAAUUAAAAUAUUUAUUGGUGGUAAAAUAAGUCUUCAGAUCAUAGAAUAACCAGUGUGUGAAAAUACAUUUAAAAGUCCUGCAUUGAAAGUAGUCCUUAUUUAAAAGUAUGUUCGGCAAAAUUUUCAGUAUGACAUUGCAUUUACAACGCUCAUGUUUUUCUUUGUGGACCUUUUCGUUGUAUCUUUGACUUCAGGAUCUUAUUGGUUAAAUGUGAAUUGUUUUAUGCAUUGUUUGCUCUUUUACUAUUUUGUGUUUUGGAUUUGUUGUUCGGCCUUCCUUUGUGUCUCUGCCUUAGUUAAGUUACUUUUGUCAUCAGCUGCGUUUGCAUCUUGAGUCUGGUGUUUCUUGCUACCUGAGUAGUUAUUUCUUUUAAUUUAAUUUUAGGGGAAUACUACCUUUUCUGAACUGAACAUAUCUUCACUAUAAUGUUGACUGACCAAGGUGGAUUUCAACGAUCAAUCGAGACAAUCACGUUUUUUUACGCUGCAAAACACAACAAUCUUAUAAUCAAUUAUUGGAUAACAAAAUGGGUAAAAAUAGAAAAAAAAUUCUCUGCAAUUGUGGUGGAUAUUGUUUUUUAUUUUGGUGUCG